rnacentral:rRNA from 1 species
AUGAACGCUGGCGGCGUGGAUAAGGCAUGCAAGUCAAGGGGGCCCGCAAGGGCAACCGGCAGACGAGGUAGUAAUACGUAGGUACGUUCCCAAGAGUCUGGCAUAGCUCAUCGAAAGGUGAGGUAAUUCCAGAUGGUCCCGCAAGGGUAAAGGCGCAAGCCACUCUUGGAUCGGCCUGCGGCAUAUCAGCUAGUUGGUAGGGUAACGGCCUACCAAGGCGACGACGUGUAGGGGAGGUGAGAGCCUGACCCCCACCGAUGGAACUGCGACACGGUCCAUACUCCUACGGGAGGCAGUAGCCGAGAAUAUUCGACAAUGGACGAAAGUCUGAUCGAGCGACGCCGCGUGGUGGAUGAAGUCCUUCGGGACGUAAACACCUUUUAUGGGGGAGGAAUUUCGAUGACUGUACCCCAUGAAUAAGAGGUUGCUAACUCUGU